rnacentral:rRNA from 1 species
AGCAGCCGCGGUAAUUCCAGCUCCAAUAGCGUAUAUUAAAGUUGUUGCAGUUAAAAAGCUCGUAGUUGAACUUCAGGCCUGGUUGGGCGGUCCGCUUAACGGCGUGUACUGUCUGACUGGGUCUUACCUCUUGGUGAGCCGGCGUGCCCUUUAUUGGUGUGCGUCGGGGAACCAGGACUUUUACCUUGAGAAAAUUAGAGUGUUUAAAGCAAGCUAACGCUUGAAUACAUUAGCAUGGAAUAAUGAAAUAGGACGUUCGAUCCUAUUUUGUUGGUUUCUAGGAUUGACGUAAUGAUUAAUAGGGAUAGUUGGGGGCAUUAGUAUUCAAUUGUCAGAGGUGAAAUUCUUGGAUUUAUUGAAGACUAACUACUGCGAAAGCAUUUGCCAAGGAUGUUUUCAUUAAUCAAGAACGAAAGUUAGGGGAUCGAAGACGAUCAGAUACCGUCGUAGUCUUAACCAUAAACUAUGCCGACUAGGGAUCGGAUGAUGUAAUUUUUUAAUGACUCAUUCGGCGCCUUAC